UACGGAGGGUGCAAGCGUUAUCCGGAUUCACUGGGUUUAAAGGGUGCGUAGGCGGACAGGUAAGUCAGUGGUGAAAUCUCUGGGCUUAACCCAGAAACUGCCGUUGAUACUAUUUGUCUUGAAUAUCCUGGAGGUAGGCGGAAUAUGUCAUGUAGCGGUGAAAUGCUUAGAUAUGACAUAGAACACCGAUAGCGAAGGCAGCUUGCUACACAAUCAUUGACACUGAGGCACGAAAGCGUGGGGAGCAAACAGG
rnacentral:rRNA from 1 species